CACCAUUGUGACCGCUCUGGACAGCAAUCUGAACUCGGAUGCACUGGCCAGGUAGACAGGAAAAUCCCCGCGAACUUUUGAAUUUCAUUUCCUGUUUGGCCAGCGUGGAGAGCUCACCAGCACAGGUGACCACGCAGAGCUCAUCAGCACAGGUAACAAUGCAGUCUCCUGAGAAUCGAAAAAGAGCUCCAGCAUGGACCGCACAGGAGGUACUGGAUCUGAUCGCUAUAUGGGGAGAACAGAACUCUGUCCAAAAGACGAAAUGAAAAAACAUUUGAAAAAAUUUCCAAAGCUGUGAUGGAGAAAGGCCACACCAGGGACUCAGUGCAGUGCAGAGUGAAAGUUAAGGCGCUCAGACAAGCCUACCAGAAAACCAAAGAAGCAAACAGAAGGUCCGCGGCAGGGCCGAAAACAUGCCACUUCUACGCUGAGCUGCAUGCAAUUCUAGGGGGGUCUGCCACCACUACCCCAUCCCUGUCCGUGGAUUCCACGGUGGAGGUGGUAAUCUCAGCCAUGGCUGAGGAUUCUGCGGACGGGGAAGAUGAGGAGGAGGAAGAGGAAGACGAGCUUGCUCCCCAACAGCCAGGAGCUUUUUCUCACCCAGACGGAAUUACUCUCCCAGCCCUCCCAAGCCAGUAGCCCAGACAAUGAAGCCAUGGAAGCGACCUCUGCUGCAAAUUUUUCAAGCCUCCCUACGCCAUCCUGAAGGCUAUCUCAGAUAAGGCGGAGGAAAAAAAAAGACACAAGACGAAAUGUUCUCGGAAAGCAUGGAAGUAACCCGCAAUGAAAGAGCUCAUCUGAAUGAAUGGAAGGACGUGGUAUCAAAUUACAGGAAAAAUGCCAGUGAACGUGAGGACAGGAGGGACCAACGUAAGGAUAGGAGGGACGAAUGUGAGGAGAGGAGGGAUGCUCGAGAUGAGAGGUGCCGCCAGGAAGAUCAGAGGUGUAGGCAGGAAGAUCAGCGGUGGCGGGAUGCAACGCUGGGGCUGCUGCGUGAUCAAACUGACAUCCUCCGACGUCUGGUGGAGCUUCAGGAACAACAGCAGGGUUACAGAGUGCCGCUGCAGCCCCUGUGUAACCACCCUCACCACUCACCAUGUUCCAUAUCUUCCUCACCCACACGUGUAAGAACACAUGGGGGAAGGCUUCGUGCACCUGCCCACUCCACCUCCGUGGACAGCCCAACCAAAAGGCUGUCAUUACUUUGAAAUAUUUUUAGUGGCCUUUUCCUUCCCUCCUAUCCUCCUCCCAAACCACACCCGGGAUACCUUGUCAGUUCCUUCUCUCUUUUUAUAAUGACUUUUUAAUAAAGAAUACAUGAUUUUUAAA